ACGAGUGAGGACAAAGUGUGCAGAAAAGACAUGUGUUGGUCUGUGAGGGCAGCGCGGUUUCACGGGCGCGUGUGUCGCAGUUGCGCAGGCAUGGUGCGCAUGGCUGGUACUGGACACAUGGACGUGCAUGGCACAUGCGCUGGUACUGGACACAUGGACGUGGCCAAGAGAGGACGUUCCUGGCCUAGGGUUGAUCGACGGGGGCGUCGAUCUCUCUUAAGGGGGUGAGGGUGUAACAUCCCGGCCUACGGGCCUAGGGUUGAUCGACGGGGGCGUCGAUCUCUCUUAAGGGGGUGAGGGUGUAACAUCCCGGCCUACGGGGGCGUCGAUCUCUCUUAAGGGGGUGAGGGUGUAACAUCCCGGCCUAGGGCUUAAUAGGAUUAAUAGAAUACUCAUAUCAAUAAGUUGCAACUUCUUUUCCGGAAAUCAAUCUCCAAAGAACUCCAGGGUUAAGCGUGCUUGGCCUAGAGCAAUUUGGGAUGGGUGACCGACCGGGAAAUUCUUCCCGCGGUUUCACGGGCGCGUGUGUCGCAAUUGCGCAGGCAUGGUGCGCAUGGCUGGUACUGGACACAUGGACGUGCAUGGCACAUGCGCUAAGAACUCCAGGGUUAAGCGUGCUUGGCCUAGAGCAAUUUGGGAUGGUUGACCGACCGGGAAAUUCUUCCCGCGGUUUCACGGGCGCGUGUGUCGCAAUUGCGCAGGCAUGGUGCGCAUGGCUGGUACUGGACACAUGGCGCGUGUGUCGCAAUUGCGCAGGCAUGGUGCGCAUGGCUGGUACUGGACACAUGGACGUGCAUGGCACAUGCGCUGGUACUGGACGGGUUAAGCGUGCUUGGCCUGGAGCAAUUUGGGAUGGGUGACCGACCGGGAAAUUCUUCCCGCGGUUUCACGGGCGCGUGUGUCGCAGUUGCGCAGGCAUGGUGCGCUUGGCUGGUACUGGACACAUGGACGUGCAUGGCACAUGCGCUGGUACUGGACACAUGGACGUGGCCAAGAGAGGACGUUUCUGGCCUAGGGUUGAUCGACGGGGGCGUCGAUCUCUCUUAAGGGAGGGUGUAACAUCCCGGCCUACGGGGGCGUCGAUCUCUCUUAAGGGGGUGAGGGUGUAACAUCCCGGCCUACGGCUUAAUAGGAUUAAUAGAAUACUCAUAUCAAUAAGUUGU
rnacentral:lncRNA from 1 species